rnacentral:misc_RNA from 1 species
GUCCGGCUGAGUUUGUAAGGGCAUCCAUGUCUGUUCCUUUCUUCUUUGAACCUUUUCAGAAAAGAAUUGAUAAAACGGAAAGCUCCAUAAAAU